rnacentral:rRNA from 1 species
UAUAUUAAAGUUGUUGCAGUUAAAAAGCUCGUAGUUGGAUUUCUGGCGGGAGCGAUCGGUCCUUCACUCAGUGUUGGAACCUGAUUGUCUCCUACCAUCCAUGGAGAAAACUUAUCUGGCAUUAAGUUGUCGGGUAGGCAAUCUCCAUCUUUUACUGUGAAAAAUUUAGAGUGUUCAAAGCAGGCUUAUGCCGUUGAAUAUAUUAGCAUGGAAUAAUAAGAUAGGACUAUGGUACUAUUUUGUUGGUUUGUGCACCAUGGUAAUGAUUAAUAGGGACAGUUGGGGGUAUUCGUAUUCCAUUGUCAGAGGUGAAAUUCUUGGAUUUAUGGAAGACGAACUACUGCGAAAGCAUUUACCAAGGAUGUUUUCAUUAAUCAAGAACGAAAGUUAAGGGAUCGAAGAU